rnacentral:rRNA from 2 species
CAUGGUUUGAAAUUGAAAGGCGGCUUCGGCUGUCACUUAUGGAUGGACCCGCGUCGCAUUAGCUAGUUGGUGAGGUAACGGCUCACCAAGGCAACGAUGCGUAGCCGACCUGAGAGGGUGAUCGGCCACACUGGGACUGAGACACGGCCCAGACUCCUACGGGAGGCAGCAGUAGGGAAUCUUCCGCAAUGGACGAAAGUCUGACGGAGCAACGCCGCGUGAGUGAUGAAGGCUUUCGGGUC